CGGGCAAUAGCUCACUGGUAGAGUUCCCGCUUCGUAUGCAGGGAGACCUGGGUUCGAUUCCCGGCUGCUUCC
rnacentral:tRNA from 1 species